CGGGGCCCACAGUGCCGGCGAGCCGGGCGAAUGCAGCCAGCGCGGCAACCAGACAAAGCACACAGACAUCGGGCAUUCUACCGAUUAAGCUGGUCACAAAGGGACAGUAUGUAAGACAACAAACUGCACCAAGGACAGUUCUCAUGUGGUGACUGCUCCCAAAACUCCGGGUUUGGGAAUUUGAGGGUUCUGCUCCACUGGUCGCAUCUCCUGCUGGCAUCAAUCCUAUGGCCACAGGACGCUGCAGCUGUUAGCACACCACUCCACUCGGUUACGGAUGAAGGACGCCUGCUUGGUUUCAAAGUCUGUGACAAACAUCUCAAAGGAUAAGGGUGGAAAAAAUCCCUUAAUGAACAGCAAAGAGGAAGAAAUGAAGGAGAAAAGAAAUGGUCGAGAAAGGGCAAGAGGUGAGCUGAUGACAGAACAGAGGAAAGUUUAACCCUGCUGGGCUUGGGAGAGCCCGAUUGUCCUGCGGAGACGUUUGCUGCCGGAUACUCGAUGGUCGGUUGCGUCGUGUGUCUGGCGACACUCUCGAUGGAGGACAAUGAAUGACAUCUACCAAUUUGGAACCACGAUAACAGAGUUUGGGCUGAUUGGAGCUGGCUUGGACCUGGCUUAUCGAAGAACAAGAAGUGGCUACAGCUGUUCAAAAUCCCAUAAGGCUGGCCGACAUGAUAGACGAUUGGCAGGGCUGUGAGUACUCAGACUGUGUUUUGAACGCAAUAUGGAUAACAUCUUGGAGAAGAACAACGGGAAUUGAGAUAAUUGGUGACCAGUGAUGGACAUUAGACCAACUGUAAAAAUUGGAUGCAGUUGUUCGCACUAAACCCAAACAUUCACCAUCUUCACUCAUGCAGCCCCCCUGGCGCCAGCUGAAGGCCUGCCAAGGUCGAAGCUGACUGGAACAACAAAUUCUUCCCAUGAUAACAGGAUUGUUGUCAGAACUCUUUGUACCUCCUUCAAGGUCACCUGGGUCCACUGGAAACUGUUGACCUUCGCUUAACCGGGCGUGGUGACCCUUUCUCUCAACUGAACAUGGGAUACACACACACACAUGCACACGCACAGAACAUGUACACUGAUACUGAUAUGCCCUCACUAUCAUCCUCCCUCCCCCGAAUCCAACGCCUCUUCCCUUGCUUACCUCCCAUCCGAUGUGGACACCUGAUCAGCGGGAGGCGCAAUCAAAGAUUGCAGCGGACCAAGAUCAGCUGUACACACUGGAAUACUCUCCCAUGUUGCUUGUCUGUGUUUUAUUGUGUUAUGGUGUGUUGAUAUCUGUGCAUUCCUGUAUUAUCCUUUUGUGUUACACAUUUCGAUGUUUUUUUUCCCUUGUUACCUAGCCUGACCUGUAUCCUCAAUGUGAUGUUUGUGUAUUGUAUGUAUGGUCGGCAAGGUCUGUCAUCUCGGUUGUGGGCAACUGCAACUGAUAAAUAAAGGCUAUCUCAUCUCAUCUCAUAUCUUUUGAGCAAUGACAUCUGAAUUCUGAAAACUGCUUCCAAGAACAGACUGAUGGUUUUUAUUGGUCAUCUUUAUAACGCCAAGUUAAAAAGGAACAUGAAUAAAAGUGUGAAGAAAUGAGAGAAAUUUGGUUGCCAGCAAGAGGCAUAGAUUCAAAAUACAUAGAUAAAUAAUUUUAUUGUGACUCAGUGCAUGCACCUUUUUAAAACACCUCUUUGCCUCUGUGUUUCAGGCAUGCUCAUUUACUCUCCAUGCACUAAUGUCAUCGAGUGGUGUGGAGAUUGGAGGAGGGUGACAUAGAAGGAGAGGAAGUUUAGGCAGUGCCAUUUAUAAAGCACGACCAUUUAUAAAGCAUGGCCCUCUGCCCGUAUCAUAAACUGCAUAUUUUGGUGGGCGAUGGCAGAAAAGCAGCUGCACUACAGGAGAGAUGAAGACAGGAUAAAAAGUCAAUCAUGCAAGUCUAUUUUUUCUGUUCCAGAGUUCAUUUUUCACCCAUCGUGAAUUAUUUUGAGCAGUGCAA